AUUGAACGCUGGCGGCAUGCCUUACACAUGCAAGUCGAACGGCAGCGGGGGAGAAGCUUGCUUUUCCUGCCGGCGAGUGGCGAACGGGUGAGUAAUACAUCGGAACGGGCCCUGUAGUGGGGGAUAACUAGUCGAAAGAUUAGCUAAUACCGCAUACGACCUGAGGGUGAAAGUGGGGGACCGCAAGGCCUCAUGCUAUAGGAGCGGCCGAUAUCUGAUUAGCUAGUUGGUGAGGUAAAGGCUCACCAAGGCGACGAUCAGUAGCUGGUCUGAGAGGACGACCAGCCACACUGGAACUGAGACACGGUCCAGACUCCUACGGGAGGCAGCAGUGGGGAAUUUUGGACAAUGGACGCAAGUCUGAUCCAGCAAUGCCGCGUGCGGGACGAAGGCCUUCGGGUUGUAAACUGCUUUUGUACGGAACGAAACGGUGAGCUCUAAUACAGUUUGCUAAUGACGGUACCGUAAGAAUAAGCACCGGCUAACUACGUGCCAGCAGCCGCGGUAA
rnacentral:rRNA from 1 species